ensembl:lncRNA
AUUGGACUUCAUGCACUGGGUUCUCACAACAGAAGCAGCAAAAUGUGGAAAAACACUUGGAUUUUCUUAAACCCUUCCUUUUGGUGCUCUAAGAAUCAGCAAUAUGUACAUUCUACAGCAUGAUUGUCUCAUAUACUACGACUCUACUCCGUGUGAAUAUACGGGCACUAUUUUGGCAGCUAAAAAGGCCAUAGUGAUCUUCCCUCUGUUUCCAGGCAUCUUGUUAAUGGACGGGAGAUAGGAAUGGAAGAAACAGAAUGAAAAAAGAGAAAUAAGAUAAGGAAGAAAAACCGGAGAGUCAGUCUGCUGGUUGCUGAACUCAGAGGGCUGAGUUCAGAUGCUGGAGGAAGAAUCAACUCAGAAAUAGAGGUCAGGAAGAGAAAAAGAGAGUAUUAAAAGUUGGUAAAGAGAUUUUUUUGUGGAAGAAAAGAUAAAUUUGAGACCCUGAUACAACUUUCUUCUGGAGGAAGAAAGAUAUGCCUCAGGAAAGAGAGAAUGAUAAAGCCUACAAAAAGUCUGUCGCAACAAAGGGGAAGACUUGGGCAGACGUUAAUGUGGGGGGAAAAGAAAAGCAAUCCAGAAACCAGGGUGAGCAUCUCUAUUACAGAUUUAGUUCCCCUCCUAGCAGAAUUGUGGAUUUUCUGUAGCAUUAACAUUUUGGGAAACACUAUGGAAGAGGAGGGAAAAGCUACAGAAGGAAAGCUUACAGGAAGAUUAUUCAUCCUCCUUGAGAAAAGGAGUCUUGCAUAGUUUGGAUGCAUUCUUGACCUGGGGUCCAUGCACGAUGCCAGGGUUCCUCUCUGGUCACACAGCCCUGGCUGCCAGUCUCCACAUCCUCUGAGGACCUGGCUGCAGGUUGCUCUGCCCUCUAUUCCUGAAGUCAAAAGUCUGAUGACAAUGAAAACUCCUUAGGACACGUCCGAGUCGUUUAGUGCCAGGAACUGGUUACUGGAAGGAGCAGGUGUGCAGACAGCUCACCUAAUCCAAUUGUACUGCUGACGUCCGCAGUGGUAAUCCAUCCAGAGAGCCGCUUCCCAGACUGCGGCUGUGACAGCCUGCCUGGCUGAGACACGUGCGUACAGGGAAUCCCCAGGGACAAACCCGUGCUUUUGAAUUCCCUCCAACUUUCACUCGCAUAAAUGAGAGCACAUAUGUCUCCUUAAUUCACAAGAAAAUCUGAUUUUGAAAUUGCCAUGGCACCUGGCUCUCUAGCAAAUAUGCACAUUAUAGAUGAAGUAGCAUGGGCAUGCAGGACAGAAAGGAGGGUCCUUAGAAGUGGAAUGCAAACCCAAAUCUCCCUAUUCUGCAGUAAGCACUGUCUUCAUGUAACAUUGGCAGCUCAGAGGGAGCUCCUUUCUGCAGUUAUAGCUGCAGUGUGUAAUUCAUAAAUCUACCACUCAAACAUGGCUUGCUUCAGUGUUAGGUAGGCUUCUUGGUUUGGCUGGUUGAAGUUUUUUCCAAGGCAAAAGAAGGAACUGCCAAAACAGAGCAAAGCAUUUCAGCUAAUGGAGUACACUUGCAGAACAACAGGGGAAAUAUUCUUGCAUCCUUCCUGAUGUAGCACCGCAUCCCCAUCCAUCUUAUUCUAGGGAUGAGAACUUCACCAUGAGGCUGGUCAAAGGGCUUGUCCACCUGCUAAUGGGCUUUCUUGGCUCCAGACAGAGGUGAACCAUUUUUUAUCAUUUAUACAAUAGUAUCGUUAUGUUCUUAUUAACCCGAAGUCCUUACUGGUGACUUGAAUACCAUACUUUUGUCUCGAGAAAUUUUGCUUUUCUCUGAAAGGGGCUGCUUUGUGCAGUGGAGGUUUAAUUCUCUAUGUGUGUUAGCACAGAACAAAGUGAACGUGGUAGAUCAGAAAAUUUAGUCUGUGUCUUAAUGUCUUUUUCUCAUCCCCUCCCACCUGGACAGAUUGCUUAUCAUUUUAGCUAUUUUCACCUCCACUUCUCAUUAUCACUUGCUGUCACUAGCCAAUUUGAAGCCUUCUUCAGAAAAUCCUGUUCACUCUCCCACGCCAACCUUGCUGCAAGCUGGACGGGGAACAUCUCCUGGAGUUGAGCAUCCAGAAAAGAACGUUACAUUUGGCAAGGGAAAUGCCCAUGUCCACACCCUUGCCUCAUCCAUCACCUUCUGUAAUCAUGUUCUGCCACAUCACAAGAAAAGCUGACCUCUUUGAGUCAACCACAUUUGGAAACUGACCUUUACUCUGCUAGUUGCUGCAUUUUGCACAACUUGUUGUUAAUCUGCUGCAGAAUAAACCACGUCCUCCUGUUCCCACUUACACAUUUGUACAUGUUUGUUCUUUCUGCUUG